GACGAACGCUGGCGGCGUGCCUAAUACAUGCAAGUCGAACGGUCUUUUCUAUGGAAGCUUGCUUCCACUGAGAAGAUAGUGGCGAACGGGUGAGUAACACGUGGGUAACCUGCCCAUAAGAGGGGGAUAACAUCCGGAAACGGGUGCUAAUACCGCAUAGGUUUCUUGGUCGCAUGAUCGAGAAAGGAAAGACGGCCUUUGUGCUGUCGCUUAUGGAUGGACCCGCGGCGUAUUAGUUAGUUGGUGAGGUAACGGCUCACCAAGACGAUGAUACGUAGCCGACCUGAGAGGGUGAUCGGCCACAUUGGGACUGAGACACGGCCCAAACUCCUACGGGAGGCAGCAGUAGGGAAUCUUCCGCAAUGGACGAAAGUCUGACGGAGCAACGCCGCGUGAGUGAAGAAGGUUUUCGGAUCGUAAAACUCUGUUGUCAGAGAAGAACAAGUCGGAGAGUAACUGCUCCGGCCUUGACGGUAUCUGACCAGAAAGCCACGGCUAACUACGUGCCAGCAGCCGCGGUAAUACGUAGGUGGCAAGCGUUGUC
rnacentral:rRNA from 1 species